CGCUUCAUGAUGUAGUGUGCAGUAUUGCCUGCUCUAUGAUUUAAUUAAAUGGCCGCGGUAUAUUGACCGUGCAAAGGUAGCAUAAUCAUUAGUCUUUUAAUUGAAGGCUGGCAUGAAAGGUGGGACGAAAUAAUUACUGUCUUAUUUUAAUGAAUUUGAAUUUAAUUAUUGAGUAAGAAAGCUUAAAUAAUUUUAUGGGACGAUAAGACCCUAUAGAGUUUAAUAAUUUUAUAAAUUAAAUUGGUUAGGCUAUUAUCUUAAUUUUAUAAGUUAUUUUGUUGGGGUGAUGGAGAGAUAUAAUUAACUCUUUUUUUAAAAAUACACAUAUUUGUGGUUGAUUGACCCAGGAAUUAUGAUUAAAAGACUAAAUUACC
rnacentral:rRNA from 1 species